UCUCCAUUUCUUCUAUCCCCAAAAAGCUACUCUGUCUCUCUUUCACAAAAAACCCUAAUCCCCAAAUCCCAGUUUCACCCAAAAUUCAAUAUAUUAAGCCAUUUAUUCGAUGCGAUAUAACAAGGUCUAAAUGAACAGAUGCCAAUCGGAGAAAAGGAAGCUUAAGUCAAUAUAACAUAUUAAACCAUUUAUCCGAGGUCCGUUUUCGGUUGUUGUUGUUGUUUCUGGUGGUGGUGAUAGUGUGAAUUUGUUCUAAGAGGCGUGGGAGGUCUGUGUCUAAGAAUAAUGACGGUGAUGAUGCUGGUAGUGCAGAUAGGGUUGUUUCGGAUAGUGAUUGAGGAAAAGGCGGUCUAUUUCGGUUGUUCAACAUCAGAUUAGUGGCUCCGAGAUCCAGAGGAAGAACGUCGAUGGAUGGCUCAAGAAGUACGCAGUUACGUUGAAGCAGUUCUCAACACCCUUGCUGCCAAUGUCCAAAGGCAGUUGUUCAUUGCCAAGUAGAAAAGGCUAAAGAAGAUAGCUCAAUAAACUAGUUUUGUAAGUUUAGCUGCUAUAUCUCGUCCUCCUUGUCUUGUAUAGUAUUAGUAGAGAAUCUGUCAGUUGGAAUACUAGCAGGAAUGGUCAAUCUAAUGGUGCCAUUGCAUUGAUGGAAGUAUUCAAAUACCAUCGGUUGAUAAAUUUCCUGGUAGUUGCUCAAAAUCCCUACAUUUUGAUGCGUAUUUUUUAAGAUGGUGCUAAACUGGUUUAAUCUGAUUGGGAAGAUCUUGUGGACAAAUAAGGAAGCCCCCUUCAUAUAUAGGAAGUAUUUAAAAAACUUAGUUGUCAACGGAAAAGCAAUAUAUAUACCAGAUCUAGAAAUUCAAUAAGGUAGGGGUAUUAUGGGAUUCUUUUUGAAAUGAAAAUCAACCAGCAAAUUAUUGGAUUUUAUUUGAUGAGGUAUGUUUAUUGGAUGCAAUUUCUUGAAAUUAAAGCCCAACAGAAUCACGGUAGAGAUUACAAAUUAUUGAGGGGUGCAUCUGGACUCGGCUUUUGAAUAUUCUAUGUGGGUUUAGGGAAUGAUUUAGGACUCGGUUUUUGUUAAUGCAACAAUGGACUCAGAUUUUUAGCGUUACCUGGUGGAGGCUCAGAAACAUUCUUAUUAUGAGUUUUUUAACUUCUAAAAUAACUAAGUGACAAAUAAUAAAUUUGAAAACUAAUUUUAUUAUUAAAAAAAACUUGAUAAAAGUCAACCAGCCACGUUUUGCCCUAACAUUACAUAUAAAACAGAACAAAAAACUACAGAAACAGAGAACUUCCCUGAGCAAAACUAAUUGACCAGUGAUGUGAGAUUGUGGCCUUCAAGUUUUUCUUCCUUUUAGUCACUAACUGCCAACUUUUUUUUACCUUGAACAUGAACUGUAAGAAGCCUAAAUUCUCAUAAUCAUGGAAGAUAUAUCCAUAAUGUCUACUUGAUCAAGAUAUAACGGGUCAAUUUCAGUAUGGGUAGAGUGUAGUGCUUAGAUUCUGUUGAAAUCGUACUCUAAUGUAUACGGGACAAUGAUGUUUAAAUAGGUUACAGACAAGAUUUUCGCUUAAGACUCAUGUGCAUUAAAGUUACUAAUGUACUUGCUUAUUUAGCCGUAAAAAGUUACUAAUGUACUUGCUUAUUUAGCCGUAAUAGAGAUUGUAGCUUACUCCUAUAUUGUUGCAGAUAAAAGUGGAAAGAAAGAAUGCGUGGCUAAAUCUGCAGCUGAAACUAAACCUCAAGCUGUUAUGCUGAAAUAACGUCAGGCUUAUGUGGUUUGAACUUAGAACAUGUUUAAAAAAAUUCUUAGUGCUUACAAAUUUUUUUCAUCUGGUUUAUCAAAUUUUCACUUGAAUGAUGAUCAAAGUUUGACUUUUCAUGGUUAAAUGUUCACCUUCAAAUGCAUAAUCAUUGUUAACUAUAUAGUGAUUGUUAUAGAAUUCGUUGGAUUC
rnacentral:lncRNA from 1 species